UGGAGGAGGGCAUGGACAAGAAGAGGAGGAGGAAGGAGGAGGAAGAGAGGAUCAGAGGAGGAGGAGAGAGGUGAGAGGUUGCAGAUGAGUUGGGAUGCUGAUGCUGCUUGCUGCAAAGUCUCCAUCGCUCCAUCCCUCCCUCGGAGAGAAUGGAAAAACAAGGAGUGGUUAUGUGAUUCCCCACAAGCAGGAGGAGGAAGACGAGCGCAUAGUGGAGAAAGGAAUAGCAGGGAGGGAGGGGGGGCGUUUCCCUGCACAGCAUCGCCUAUUCUCACACUUGAGCAUGGAUACAAUGUAUGGCAUAUGGAAGCAGCUUCUUCGCUGACAGAAAGGGUGGACGCAGCGGUGUCGUCUGUAAAGCUUUGCCUCCGCGCAGACCCCCGUCCUUCUGCAAUUAUUCAGAGUGCAGAAGCUGAAAGGAUGCACACAACAAGACAAAACAAAAGGAGAGUGAGCACCAGAGCCGAGAGGAGAGAGAAAGGAGUGGAGGGGAGGUGGGCAUCUUUGCUCCGGUCUCGACCACGGGUAUUCUUGGGUUGAUAAUACAGAUGUGGAUGUUAUUGCUUGAGAAUACGCGUAGUCGAGUGGAAGCUUAAUCGUCAACACUGGACCAAAAGCAGAUCGAGAUUCAGUACGCUACAGUGGCAGAGACUCAUAUAAAUGUAUAGCCAAGCUGAGAACAGGCAUUUGGUGGGUUUUAAUUAAGCAACCAGAGGUGACUUUUUAUUUAUUUUUUUAAUGGGAAAGGCUUAUUUUGUUCAAUCAGAAAGGCUUUUAAAUAGAAUGCAAUCAGACCUAGCCAGGUGCCCAAAUCAAACCCAGCCACUGAAAAGGUUUUAUCAUCGUAGAUUUAUCAACCAUGUCACUCUGUGCACCUGUGGAGGAAAUGAGUGUGCGGCCAGAUUCAGCCCCUCCUGCAGAGGCGCUGCUGGGGAAAUCUUGCACCGUGCCACUAAGCUAAACCCUCAGGCAUUAGUUCAGGCAGCUUAACACAAAAGUCUCCAGACUCAGACGUUAAUUCCAAACCUUCUUGAUUACAUACCCUUGUCAUUCACUCGCGCACACAAGUGAUCCUAUAAUCUUAUCAGUUGAUUGGUGUCUCUCACAGCCCUUCACACUCCACACUGAACAUUUUCCUCAAGCUGAAAAGAAAUUUAAAGUUUGCAAAAUUGGUGCUGGGGAGACAGUUUUUGGGUCCUUGGACUUAAAUGACUGCGAUGUUAUGGGAUGGUACAUUAUAGCUGCACACAGUCUCUCAUUCCUAUUUUUGACUACCCGGCUCAUGCUAAAAAUGUGUGAGAGUUUGAUGCCUUUAGCAGCAACAGGAGACAGUAACACACGAGGACAUGUCGAGGCUUGCUCCCGUAGCUGACGUUUCAACAUUCAACUCAGCUGACUGGCUGUCAUGAUGGAGAUUCAGAUCUAUAUGCACACACACACACACACACACACACACUCAACUGCAUGAGGGUUCACAUAAUCUGCAUGCCUGUAGGGAAAUAAGGGAUUGAUGAAUAUUAUGAAAAUAGGCAUAAAGAUAGAUCAUGUACAUGUGAACGUGCACACAUUGCAGCUAGUAGGUUCACUCGGUCCGUGUGCCAGUGGGGAAAUAAGGAAUUGACUGAUUUUAUGGGUAGCUAUUUUUAGUCAGAAUGAUGGAUGUUUAUGUCUUUUAUUGAUCAAGUUGAGGUGUGGGUUUGAAGAAUUCUGGGACGUUAGGGCACGCUGAUUAAUCAGGUAGCAAAGGUGUUGGAAUAAAACAUCCUGAUUUACAGUUUUGGUACAUUAGCAUUAUUGCUAAGUAUUAUAAAUUAGAAAAUCAACAUUUCAUUGCAAAUUCAGCACUACAUUAGCAUCUGGUUGUGCACAUGAUGAAUUGCACUCUUAUCAUUUACAAUUCCACGAUUUCUUACCCGUGUAAGCAAAUCUGUUACAGUGUGUGAUUAUAAUUCAUACAAAUUUCACUCCGACGUUGCAUAAACUUGUUGAUUGGGCAGAGCCAUUCCUGUGGUUUUUGUGUGCCUGUGUGUGUGUGUGCGCUUCCAAGCAACAAAAUGACUAUUGUGAGCACAGCUCCAGGUGCCUAGCAACCAAAUCGCUGUUUCCUUGGCAACAGUUGCCUUGCACUCACUGUGUGGGUGAUUGGCAGCCUUGACAACAGAGACGGAGUGACACUUGACCUCGCGUGCUGAAUGGGAGAGGAGAAAGAAGGAGCGAGAAAUAGAAGAGAGGGGGAGGCAGUGGGAGGGGAUGUGCAGAGACAGAGGAGAGACUAAGUGAUAAUCACUCUCCAUUGUAAUCAUCCUCCAGCGUGUUUCAUAAGGCGUCGUCAAUACCUCUCCAGCUGGGGUCCAUCAUCAAACACAAUGCACAGUGCAGUGCGCGCAUGCACGGACACACUCUUCCUGGGUGGAGAGCCCAGGCCGGCACUCCACAUCUCAUCUAUUAUCACUCAGCCCUGCCUGGCGCACAACCUUGCUACACUGUGUCUUCUUUCAUUUGUGAUCUGCUACAUCCUGUGCUCUGUUGGGGGAUGAAUGGAUACUGGACUCCUGAAAAUGUGUCACAGCCACAGACGCCACAGGAGAGUAGAUCAGGAGCUGCAUACAGAGACAAUUUAAUUUGUAAUAGGGGUUGCCAGUGUCAUUGGCACAUAUAAAUGUAAUUGCUGUAAUUAUUAAAAUGUGUUUUUUUGGGGUUCUCGAUCUA